CCGGGAGAUGCCAUUGGCGCGAAAGCAGGUCGGCUGGGCGCGGCCGUCCCCGCGCGCAGACCGGAGGAACUAGCGCGUCCUGGGCGUCCUAGACCGAUUGCGUGUCUUUAUUCCGGGCGGUUCGGACCGGAGCAGGAGGAUCUGCUGUUCUAGGGAGACAGAAUUUGGUGGAGCUGAUAUGGACAUGAGGGCAGAGGUCUUGGACUUUGGACUGACCCCUUCCUUGCUGACUAAGGCAAGACAAGGCAGUGGGCAGGCGAUCCUGGGAUAGACCAAGUCACACUGUGAUGAAGCAAUGUGGAAGAAACCAAACCCUGUUGUGUGACCAGAGAUGCGAACAAACAGCAGCUUUGCCGUGGGUGUAAACUCACUCCUGUAAUUAUUAAGUCAAGAAACAUACUACACGAGAUGAGAUGGCGUGUGGCGAAAUUAUUUAUUUAGGGGUUUGAUUUUAUACCUUUCUAGUCAUGUACACACUUAAUCUAUUAUCUGUUAUUUUCACCAUUACCUCAAUUUACCUAUCUGAAAUCAACUUGAAAGGAAAUAUCCUGUUACCACAUCAACACAAUCACUUUUACAGUAAACAUCUUCUUCUA